GGUUAAUGCUCAUUACCAAACAAAGGAAAAAAACAUUCACCAAAUUCCAUGGCCAGCCUUAGCCAGCAUCUCAAGGACAACUUCUUCUAUCUCCUUGAACUAGUCAGAGGUACUGUCAGCAACAAGAAGAACUGUGAAGCAAAAGAAUGCGAAGAGGAAACCCAGGCGGUAUCUGUUACCGUGAAGGAAAGGGGAAUCCUUAAAUUAAACAGAGGCCUUGCACCUCCUGGAGUUCAAAAAGGUCCGCCACCUGAGCACAACUAAAGUAUUACGCACGCACCUACAGUUUGCUUGCAUCUUCUAAAUGCUAUUGUAUUAUAUCGUGGUUUGAUCUACGUACGUGCUAGUAUUGUGUGACUAGUGUCUUCAUGAUUAAGGAUGAGGAAUAGAGAUUGAAGAGGCAAGAGGUACUUUUAAAAUGUAUAUGAGAUGGUGAGGUAGUAGUCCUGUCAUCAUUUGUUCUAAGGAAAAGAGCUUGUUGUAUUAUAUGUGGAGGUUUGAAUGUAUUACUACUAUGAUGAAAUAAUUAAAUUACUAAAUUGAACUCAC